rnacentral:rRNA from 1 species
GACGAACGCUGGCGGCGUGCUUAACACAUGCAAGUCGAACGGAAAGGCCCUGCUUUUGUGGGGUGCUCGAGUGGCGAACGGGUGAGUAACACGUGAGUAACCUGCCCUUGACUUUGGGAUAACUUCAGGAAACUGGGGCUAAUACCGGAUAGGAGCUCCUGCUGCAUGGUGGGGGUUGGAAAGUUUCGGCGGUUGGGGAUGGACUCGCGGCUUAUCAGCUUGUUGGUGGGGUAGUGGCUUACCAAGGCUUUGACGGGUAGCCGGCCUGAGAGGGUGACCGGGGAGAUGGGGAGCGUGAGACGGCCAGGAGGCGGGCGGGGGGGAGAGGCGGGGGAUGGGGGAGGAGGGGCGGGGGCUUGAGGGAGGAAUGCGGCGGGGGGGAGGAGGGGCGGGGGGGGGGAAACAGAGUGAGCCGGGGAAGAAGAGUGAGGGAAGGGGAUGGAUAAGGAAGCAACGGCAAGUGUAGUC